GAGAAAAAUAAUGAGGGGUGUCACGGGGAAUGACUAUAUAGGUCUUGUAGAAGAGAAACAGGCGCUUCUUUUGCGCUAGGUAUCUAAGGGCGCUAUGUUCAAAAAUCUGAAACUAGAGCUCAAAAUUUGAAAAAAAUGUCAAAAAAUUAAGGGGGUCGGCCUAUCCUAGGACUUCUAGAGAAAAAUAAUGAGGGGUGUCACGGGG
rnacentral:lncRNA from 1 species